rnacentral:rRNA from 1 species
UUCGCCCUUAGAGUUUGAUCCUUGCUCAGGACGAACGCUGGCGGCGCGCCUAACACAUGCAAGUCGAACGGAGCUUAGAGAGCUUGCUUUUUAAGCUUAGUGGCGAACGGGUGAGUAACGCGUGAGUAACCUGCCCUAGAGUGGGGGACAACAGUUGGAAACGACUGCUAAUACCGCAUAAGCCCACGGUACCGCAUGGUACUGAGGGAAAAGGAUUUAUUCGCUUUAGGAUGGACUCGCGUCCAAUUAGCUAGUUGGUGAGGUAACGGCCCACCAAGGCGACGAUUGGUAGCCGGACUGAGAGGUUGAACGGCCACAUUGGGACUGAGACACGGCCCAGACUCCUACGGGAGGCAGCAGUGGGGGAUAUUGCACAAUGGGGGAAACCCUGAUGCAGCGACGCCGCGUGGAGGAAGAAGGUUUUCGGAUUGUAAACUCCUGUCGUUAGGGACGAUAAUGACGGUACCUAACAAGAAAGCACCGGCUAACUACGUGCCAGCAGCCGCGGUAAAACGUAGGGUGCAAGCGUUGUCCGGAAUUACUGGGUGUAAAGGGAGCGCAGGCGGGAAGACAAGUUGGAAGUGAAAACCAUGGGCUCAACCCAUGAAUUGCUUUCAAAACCUGUUUUUCUUGAGUAGUGCAGAGGUAGAUGGAAUUCCCGGUGUAGCGGUGGAAUGCGUAGAUAUCGGGAGGAACACCAGUGGCGAAGGCGGUCUACUGGGCACCAACUGACGCUGAGGCUCGAAAGCAUGGGUAGCAAACAGGAUUAGAUACCCUGGUAGUCCAUGCCGUAAACGAUGAUUACUAGGUGUUGGGGGAUUGACCCCCUCAGUGCCGCAGUUAACACAAUAAGUAAUCCACCUGGGGAGUACGACCGCAAGGUUGAAACUCAAAGGAAUUGACGGGGGCCCGCACAAGCAGUGGAGUAUGUGGUUUAAUUCGAAGCAACGCGAAGAACCUUACCAGGUCUUGACAUCCGAUGCAUAGCACAGAGAUGUGUGAAAUCCUUCGGGACAUCGAGACAGGUGGUGCAUGGUUGUCGUCAGCUCGUGUCGUGAGAUGUUGGGUUAAGUCCCGCAACGAGCGCAACCCUUAUUGCCAGUUACUACGUUAAGAGGACUCUGGCGAGACUGCCGUUGACAAAACGGAGGAAGGUGGGGAUGACGUCAAAUCAUCAUGCCCUUUAUGACCUGGGCUACACACGUACUACAAUGGCGUUAAACAAAGAGAAGCAAGACCGCGAGGUGGAGCAAAACUCAAAAACAACGUCUCAGUUCGGAUUGCAGGCUGCAACUCGCCUGCAUGAAGUCGGAAUUGCUAGUAAUCGCGGAUCAGCAUGCCGCGGUGAAUACGUUCCCGGGCCUUGUACUCACCGCCCGUCA